rnacentral:rRNA from 1 species
CAUGCAAGUCGAACGGAAAGUGCCCAGCUUGCUGGGUGACUCGAGUGGCGAACGGGUGAGUAACACGUGGGUGAUCUGCCCUGCACUUUGGGAUAAGCCUGGGAAACUGGGUCUAAUACCGAAUACACCCUGCUGGUCGCAUGGCCUGGUGGGGGAAAGCUUUUGCGGUGUGGGAUGGGCCCGCGGCCUAUCAGCUUGUUGGUGGGGUGAUGGCCUACCAAGGCGACGACGGGUAGCCGGCCUGAGAGGGUGUCCGGCCACACUGGGACUGAGAUACGGCCCAGACUCCUACGGGAGGCAGCAGUGGGGAAUAUUGCACAAUGGGCGCAAGCCUGAUGCAGCGACGCCGCGUGAGGGAUGACGGCCUUCGGGUUGUAAACCUCUUUCAGUAGGGACGAAGCGUGAGUGACGGUACCUAUAGAAGAAGCACCGGCCAACUACGUGCCAGCAGCCGCGGUAAUACGUAGGGUGCGAGCGUUGUCCGGAAUUACUGGGCGUAAAGAGCUCGUAGGUGGUUUGUCGCGUUGUUCGUGAAAACUCACA